ensembl:lncRNA
UGAACAUCUUCAUGUCCAUCAGUGUUUGUAUCCCUGCGGUUUUGGUUUUAUUAAAGUCUAUAUUGAGCAUAUCCUGCAUCUCCACGUCUCCUUGUUCCCUUGCUCCUUGCUCCUUGAGAAACUGUGAUAGAACACUGGACCGAAACAGUAUACAUGGAAAUAGCCACUCGCUUCUCUGCACUAGCACCAAAGAGAUCUCCUCUUUGUGGAGUGGGUGUGAGAGUUCUGCGGGAUCGCCGCAAAAACAGCACUGGACUAUGCCGCGCUAAACUCUCUGUUCUGGAUAGAGGCCAAUUACUAUCGCCCCGUGGUCCUCCAAGACACCACAGGACUGAGCUGGAGGGAAGGGAUCCUCUGGUGUUUGGAAAGCAUCCAGUCCCGAUCCAGAACCAGCCUGCCGCCCGUUCCCGAGUCAAGUCCGCCGAGAGGGCUCCAGUCCCCAAUUUUAGUGCAGAGAGGAUUCCAGUCCCUGAGUCUAGCACAGAAAGGGCUCCAGACCCCAUGUCCAGCCCAAGGAGGGCUCCAGUCUCCAAGUCAAGGGCCACAGUUCCCGAGUUAGGCCUACAGAGAGCCUCUGAGGCCGACAUUCUCCCCAUGGAUUUUUUAUUUAUUUUUUGGGUGGGGGGGAUUAGUAGGGGUCCAUCCGUGGAGGCUGGGCUGAGUGCCGAGCUCUGCUAUGACCUCCUGAACUGUCUACUCUGCCAUGGCUUCCUGAACUCCCUGCUCCACCAUGACUUCUUGAACUGUCUGCUCCACCAUGGCCCCCAGAAACUGUCUGCUCCGCCAUGGUCCCCUGAGUUCCUUGCUCCGCCAUGGCUUCCCAGUCUGCCUGAUCUGCCAUGGCGCCUCAAACUGCCUGAUCUGCCAUGGGUCCCGGAGUGCCCAUGGACGCACCUUCCGGGAGGAGGGAGUAAUAUCAGACUCUGUUCCUGUCUUGUGUUGUGUUCUCCUCCACCAUGUGCUCCAUGACCCAGUUCUCCCUAAUGUUUAAUUAUGUUUCAUUAGUUCCAGGUGUGUCUCGUCAUCCCAUUGUCUAGUCAUGUGUAUUUAAAGUGUUUCCUGUUUUGAGUUCUUUGUCCAGUGUUGAACGUCUUCACGUCUGUCAGUGUUUGUAUCCCUGCUAUUUUGGUUUUAUUUAAGUCUAUGUUGAGCAUCUCCUGCGUCUCCACGUCUCCUUUUUCCCUUGCUCUUUGAGAAGCUGUGACAGUAAGUUGAUACACUGCAGAUAUUUUAUUCAGCUCAACUCAAGGUGCUUCAGUACAGUCUGUGCUCUUUGCUAAUGCAGACGGGCAAAUGGGUGCAAGUUUAAAAAAAGUGACAGCUACCAUCAGAGAUAAGGUAAUUGAAAUGAAAAAAAAUGCAUAUAAAACCUUCUCAGAGCAAAGUAGGAGCCACAGACACUUUCUGCAGGGAAGCCCUUUCGUUGUUACAGCAGUUCCCCUUUCGAUGCCUCUUAUAUUUCAGUCCAUUGUUACUUUCGUAUUUUCAUGUCACAUCAGCCCC